CAGAGUGAUUUUAGUCUCUCCUCUAGCCCACUUAGUAGGCCGCAUUUUCUACAAACACACAUAUACACACACACUGGCAUAUGCACACAAAUUAACUAUGCUAACUACAGUUUCUAAAGAUUUACUGUUUACCGUUUAACAUAAAUAGCAGUCAGCUAGUGAUACUAGUUACUCUAAUCAAACUGUAACGUUGCCACAAUUCAUGAGCAGCACAAGCAAAAAUGAAAAUGGAAAUGAGCAGGAGUAAUUCACCCACCAGAAAGCCAAUGCAGUCAGUGGCAUGCUGACAAGAGCAAUUGUGGCCUGCGCUCUGGAUAGGAACAGUUGGUCAGACAGAUGAUAAGCACAGAAUUUAAUACUAAAAGAUUCAGGGGAAAGGCUUGAAACUGCAACGCAGGACGCAGCUAUCAGGAUAGAAAAUUUGUUUAACACAGUGAUACGUAGAAAACAACAACAAAACCCAAAAACCAACAAACAACAACAAACCCAACCACCACUACUGAACAGUGACAGUUCAAUUACCAGACCUGCACUGUCUGCAAGAAUGCUGCUUCCACGCACACCACUUACACACCAAAAUUCAUUGUACAUAUUAACUUUUAUAAACGGUUAACAAUAGCAAAAACUUUAUUUUACCAUUUCAAUUAAUUCAAAUUGCAUUGACAGCUACUAUACAGAUAAAUCAAGGAAUGUUAAAAAAAAACAAACAAACCAGAAACACAGGCUCCAAUGCUUUUUCCCUUUUAACCAUCUGAUCUUUAAUACACAACAAGCUAUAUUUCCUAAUUCUUAACUAGAAAUGUAUUUUGGUGCAUUAACAAUUAUCACAUUAACAAUGAAAUACAUUAGCUCCUUUAUUUAGGUAUCACUAAAUGCAUGCAUAUUAAGGCACGUAAGUCAAGAAAAACCCCUUAAUCCAUAAGCCCUUUCUCUACCUCCAAAGAGAGGGGUGCUCCUGACAACACAAAAAUAGCAAGACAGGCGAUGCAAGGCAGCCUCAUCACAUGGAUCUCCAUCCAUUUCAGCGACAUGCUGAAGAACCGAGCGACAGAAACCCAGCCGCGUUAAUGUAAAACAGCAAUUAUUACCGAGCCGGCAUCACAAGAGCCCCAUACAGACAUUCUGUACCUGGGUGCAGGAUAGUGUUACUUGAAGCAUCAGCCUAAUAGCCGGUUUAUUCAUAAGGCACGCACUAAAAUGAAACAAACAGUAAUUAAGUGCUGGCAGUGACCUAGUUAGCUCGGUGCGGCGCUGGAUCGCCCUGUCACUCAUUGCAGGCUCGCCACGAUCCGACAGCAGCGCUCCCUCCGCCCGGGCCCCGCGCGGGGAGCGGCGCCUCACGCCCCGGAGCCCCGCGCUCCCGCCGCCCGCUCCCGCCGCUCUCGCUCCCUGACCCUCCAACAAGUGUGAGCCAAGGGCAGACCUUCAGUGGGCACCUGGCUGCGUGUCUCCAUAUCUACAUUCAAGCUGAAACGGCACUCGAGAGCAAAAAAAAAA
ensembl:lncRNA